AGGAACAAAAGUAUUCUCCAUUAAAAAAAUUGAGCGAACUAGGACUCACCCAAGAAACUCAUAGUAUUCUCCAAGAAAAACAAAGUUGAGCUUACUUGGACUCACCCAGGAAACACAUAAUAUUCUGCAAUGAAAGCAAAAUUAAGCGGACUAGGACUCACAAACGCUUAGUAUUCUUUAAUGAAAGCAAAAUUCAGAGAAUUAGGGCUCACCCAGGGAACGCACAGUACCCUCCAAAUGAAAGUAAAAUCAAGCAAACUAGAUCUUGCCUCGACGCAUGCAUAUAAAACAUAAUGAAAAAGUAGUGUCCCCC
rnacentral:lncRNA from 1 species